UCACUGCUGAGGAGUUCCACAAUAAAACGAAACGGCCGUCCAGUGC
rfam:Schistosoma rodhaini strain Burundi genome assembly, scaffold: SROB_scaffold0001078